CCUGCCCAAGAGAUCGGGAUAACACCUGGAAACAGAUGCUAAUACCGGAUAAUAACAGAUGAUGCCUAUCAACUGUUUAAAAGAUGGUUCUGCUAUCACUCUUGGAUGGACCUGCGGUGCAUUAGCUAGUUGGUAGGGUAACGGCCUACCAAGGCGAUGAUGCAUAGCCGAGUUGAGAGACUGAUCGGCCACAUUGGGACUGAGACACGGCCCAAACUCCUACGGGAGGCAGCAGACG
rnacentral:rRNA from 1 species